AUCUCAAAUUUCCACAGGAAAAUAGCAAUGGUGAUACCACGGUCAUGUUCAGCUUUCAGUUUAUCCAAGACCCAGGCAUACCUAAAGGAGCCCUUCCCCAUCUCAGCAGCCUCCUUCUCAAAUUUUUUGAUAGUUUUAGAACGCAAGAGCACGUCUGAAAUCCAGUCA